rnacentral:rRNA from 1 species
ACUCCUACGGGAGGCAGCAGUGGGGAAUAUUGGACAAUGGGGCGCAAGCCUGAUCCAGCCAUGCCGCGUGUGUGAAGAAGGCCUUUUGGUUGUAAAGCACUUUAAGCGAGGAGGAGGGACGAACGGCGCCAUGAAGAGUGGCGAUUGACGGUACCUCCUUAGCAAGCACCGGCUAACUUCGUGCCAGCAGCCGCGGUAAU